UCUUAGUUCGUGGAGUGAUCUGUCUGCUUAAUUGCGUUUCAAAAGUAUUUUGAUUUAUCAAACGAGUCUACGAAGGACCUAUUCAUACAAGCACUUCAUUUAUGAUUUGUUUGGAAUUUGGUCUUUCGGCUCAAUUAACGCAACGGACGUGAUUGCAAGUCCUUGUUGAACUUCUGUAUAUAUCAUUACAUUCUUAACUGAGUGUAUCUAAGAUAAUAGAGUUCGCUUUCUAUUGGUGACGGGAUCUCCUCAUUCGUGGAGUGAUCUAAUCCUCUAGGAAAACUCGGGCGACCGCUGUAAUACUUUCUUUUUAAAACAGAGGAAGAUUGCGGCAAUAACAGGUCUGUGAUGCCCUCAGAUGUCCCGGGCCGCACACGUGCUACAUUGAUUAGCGCAGUGCGCAUACUUUCAAUAUGAUACAUUGGUUUUGGUAGUAAGCUAUUCAUCUGAUGGAUAUGCUACUCUCCAUACCAAUACUAUCUAGUCUGAAAAGACUGGGUAAUCUAUUGUAAGUGCUGGUUCCUCUUCCCGUUGAGCAUUUUAAUAAUGGUCUCU
rnacentral:rRNA from 1 species